rnacentral:rRNA from 1 species
UACGUAGGGUGCGAGCGUUGUCCGGAUUUAUUGGGCGUAAAGAGCGUGUAGGCGGCCAGGUAGGUCUGCUGUGAAAACUCGAGGCUCAACCUCGAGACGUCGGCGGAAACCAUCUGGCUAGAGUCCGGAAGAGGAGAGUGGAAUUCCUGGUGUAGCGGUGAAAUGCGUAGAUAUCAUGAGGAAUACCAGAGGCGAAGGCGGCUCCCUGGACAAUUGCUGACACUCGAGGCAGCGAAAGCGUGGGGAGCAAAAGGG